UACGUAGGGUGCAAGCGUUGUCCGGAAUUAUUGGGCGUAAAGAGCUCGUAGGCGGUUUGUCGCGUCGGAUGUGAAAGCCCGGGGCUUAACCCCGGGUCUGCAUUCGAUACGGGCAGACUGGAGUGUGGUAGGGGAGAUCGGAAUUCCCGGUGUAGUGGUGAAAUGCGUAGAUAUCGGGAGGAACACCAGUGGCGAAGGCGACUACCUGGCCUGUUCUUGACGCUGAGGCGCGAAAGUGUGGGGAGCAAAGCGGGG
rnacentral:rRNA from 1 species